rnacentral:rRNA from 1 species
GGGGCAGCAAUGUCACCGUCGCACGGGUGCGUAACGCGUAUGCAACCUACCUAUCACAGGGGGAUAGCCUUUGGAAACAGGGAUUAAUACCGCAUAAAGCAGGGGCUCCGCAUGGAGAUAUUGCUAAAGAUUUAUCGGUGAUAGAUGGGCAUGCGUCUGAUUAGUUAGAUGGUAGGGUAACGGCCUACCAUGACGAUGAUCAGUAGGGGGCGUCAGAGCGUGGUCCCCCACACUGGCACUGAGAUACGGGCCAGACUCCUACGGGAGGCAGCAGUAGGGAAUAUUGGGCAAUGGAUGCAAGUCUGACCCAGCCAUGCCGCGUGAAGGAAGAAGGUCCUCUGGAUUGUAAACUUCUUUUAUCGGGGAAGAAGAAACGCCUUGCGAGGUGAAGUGACGGUACCCGAUGAAUAAGCCACGGCUAACUACGUGCCAGCAGCCGCGGUAAUACGUAGGUGGCAAGCGUUGUCCGGAUUUAUUGGGUUUAAAGGGUGCGUAGGUGGUUUAAUAAGUCAGUGGUGAAAGCUGGUUGCUCAACAAUCAAGUUGCCAUUGAUACUGUUAGACUUGAGAGAAGUGGAGGCUGGUGGAAUGGAUGGUGUAGCGGUGAAAUGCAUAGAUAUCAUCCAGAACGUCAAUUGCGAAGGCAGCUGGCUGUACUUUUUCUGACACUGAGGCACGAAAGUGUGGGGAUCAAACAGGAUUAGAUACCCUGGUAGUCCACACUGUAAACGAUGCGAACUAGCUUUUUGGCUUUAGAGUUGAGAGGCUAAGG